UGAUUUGAAAAUUAUUCAAAAAAAUUGUCACAGUUGUAAUAGUCAAGGCUAAGCAUCUAUUCCAGAAUAUGUAGAUAAAAUUUAACACUUGGGAGACCAUUGUAGUAAACUCGGUUUAGUUGUUAAUCAAACCUUAAAUUUUUACUAUUCUAAAUCAACAAGUUUCUUCAGAAUCUAUGGCUAACUUUGAUAUGUUUAAUGAUAGUAAUUUUUUAAUGUAUAGUUUAAUGGUUAAAGUGUACUGAAAUGAAAUAUACAUUAAUUUUGUUUUUUCCUAUUUAGUGUUAUGUAUGAUGAUUUGUUGAAUAAAAAAUGAUGUAUAC
rnacentral:misc_RNA from 1 species